GCAGAGCUCAUAUUACCCCCAUUUGCUGCUGAUUUUGAAAGUUUCCACUUUUCAAUCUGAGUGGAUGUUUUUGGAAGAUUUGCUCAAGUGGGUAAUGUUUAUUUGAGAUUUGUCGUUGNNUCGUUGACAAUAUAUUCCAAUUUUAGAUCUUUGUGAUCUGUUCAACGUUUUUAUCCAUUUCCUACCAAAGAGAAGAAGAAGAAAACCAGCAGCAAGAAAGGAG
rnacentral:misc_RNA from 1 species